rnacentral:rRNA from 1 species
AUAUAACUGAGGAGUGAAACAUGUUCAUCAUGGCCAAAAGAGGGGCUUGCGUCUGAUUAGCUAGUUGGUGGGGGUAAAAGCCUCCCAAGGCCACGAUCAGUAGCUGGUCUGAGAGGAUGAUCAGCCACACUGGAACUGAGAAACGGCCCAGACUCCUACGGGAGGCAGCAGUGAGGAAUUUUCCGCAAUGGGCGAAAGCCUGACGGAGCAAUGCCGCGUGAAGGAUGAAGGACUGUGGUUCGUAAACUUCUUUUCUCAAAGAAGAAUAAAUGACGGUAUUUGAGGAAUAAGCUCCGGCUAACCCUGUGCCAGCAGCCGCGGUAAUACAGGGGGAGCAAGCGUUAUCCGGAAUGAUUGGGCGUAAAGCGUCUGUAGGUGGUGUAUGAAGUCUUCUGUUAAAUUCCAGGGCUCAACCUUGGGCAAGCAGUAGAGUACUCAUAUGCUAGAGUUUGGGAGAGGUAGAGGGAACUCCUCGUGGAGCGGUGAAAUGCGUAGAGAUGAGGAAGAACACCAGUGGCGAAAGCGCUCUACUGGACCACAACUGACACUGAGAGACGAAAGCUACGGGAGUGAAAAGGAUUAGAUACCCUUGUAAUCGUAGCCGUAAACGAUGGAAACUAAAUGCUGCACAAAGCAGUGUUGUAGCUAACGCGUUAAGUUUCCCGCCUGGGGAGUAUGACCGCAAGGUUGAAACUCAAAGGAAUUGACGGGGGCCUGCACAAGCAGUGGAUUAUGUGGUUUAAUUCGAUUCAACGCGAAGAACCUUACCAGGGUUUGACAUACUAGGAACUUUUCAGAAAUGAGAAGGUGCCCGUUUUUAAAAUUGGAACCUAGAUACAGGUGGUGCAUGGCUGUCGUCAGCUCGUACCGUGAGGCGUAUGGUUAAGUCCCAUAACGAGCGCAACCCUCGUCUUUAGUUAUAUUCUCUAAAGAGACUGCCAGUGUAAGCUGGAGGAAGGUGAGAUGACGUCAAGUCAGCAUGCCCCUUACACCCUGGGCGACACACGUAAUACAAUGGCCAAGACAAUCAGAUGCGAUCCUGCGAAGGCUAGCGAACCUGUUAAACUUGUCCUCAGUUCGGAUUGCAGGCUGCAACUCGCCUGCAUGAAGCCGGAAUUGCUAGUAAUCGCCGGUCAGCCAUACGGCGGUGAAUACGUUCCCAGGCCUUGUACACACCGCCCGUCAAUGGCUUAAAAUCGGGUUGGGUUGAAGUGAGUGUUCUAACCUAGUAAUAGGAGGUAACUCCCUACACCACACUUGAUAAUUCGUCAUAAGUCGUAACAAGGUA